CCGGCGGAAAAACAAAUCGGACGGAAUAUGAGUGAUUCCGGUUGGUGUAGGCCGCGAUUAGGGGUUUGCUGAAGGUGUUGACGGUGAGGUCAUGAUUUCAGGUGGCGGUGGAAUCGAUUGUGGAGAUGGAAGAAGGCGAAGGGUUUGAAUCACGGUGAGAGAGGGUUUGGUGGUGGCGAUUCACGGUGAGGUAAGCGAUUUACACGGAGGUUGAGCGGAGAUGGGAGGACGCGUUAGGUUGUGUUGCGAUGAAGAUGAUGAAGGGUUUGAGGGUUACCGUUGGUGGUGGCGAAAGGGAUUUUGACGGUGGAUUCCGUGGUUGUGUUGGUGGAAGAGGAGGAUGGAGGGUUUUGUGAGGGAGAAAGAGAGUGAGGGAUUUUGAGAGAGGCGGAGGGUUUUGUAAGGGUUUCUGUGAAGUGGAGUGUGAGCGAGAGAGGAGAGGGAAAGGUGAAGUGUGUCAUUUGUGGGUGAGUGAUUUGUGAGGAUCCGCAAUCCGAGAGAGUGAAGGGUCGGUGAAAUAGUGAGGUGUCCAUCUGAGUGGAAUUCUGUUUUGAGUGGAUUGUGGGUAGGCACGUGGAGCGUGUGAGGAUUAUACCAGCAGCUUAUGAGUGAAUUUUUUUGUUUUUAGUGGAUUGGGGGAUCCAAUGUAAGAAAUAUACAUUUUCCAUAAUUGUUAUUUAAAUAAUAAAUCAUAAAAACCUUAGUUAAUAUUUAAUUUAAACUAAUUAAUAUUUAAUUUACACUAACUAAUAUUUAAUUUUAAACACAUUCUAAUUUAUUUUAAUUAAAUAUCAAAAAAAAUAUUGACCCAUUAAAAAUAGAAAUCGAGUACGAAUUUAUUCGAAAAAUUGAACCGGUCACACUAAAAUUGUCAGCACAAAACCCUACUUAAAAAAAAUGCAGUCUUUCUUCAAAUCUUUAACGAUUCAACCGAUUUUCUGUAUUCUCAAAAUAAAUUCAUUCUGACUGACAUAUCAGGCAUUAUUCAUGAUGCAAUGUAUAUAAUGUCAUGCAUGUGAUGCUAAAUUAAAAAUUAAAUUAAUUCUAUGAAAGUUUAAAUAUGCCCGGACAAAAUUGGGGUAUGACACAACCCAGGCAUAUCUUGAUACGACCAGGCGAAUAUCUCCACAUACUCAGCAUCUCAAUCAACCUUCUCUUGACAUCUUCCUUCAAAGCAGCCCCGAUCUUAAUAUCUCUUCUGGCAUCCUCAGUACCGAGAUUAAUAAUCUCCAACUCCUCCUGAUGAGGUUGGAUGACCCUUUCCUCCUGCUUCAAUAAUCUGACCAGUUCCUUAGGGAGUUCACAAUCUUCCUCACUCUCCUCUUCAGCUUGGUAGAUGGGAUUAUUUAAAUCAUACCGAGCCAUAACAGAACUGUUCAUAGUGGAGUCCGUAAGAUCGAUUCUGCAUGUUUAAUGCUUUAUUUUAGAAAAAGAGUUCAAGAAAGUCACAAAAACAAAAACAUUGCCAUUUUUAUUGUUUUUUUUUAAAAAUGAAAAUAAAAACAGAAAGACAGGGAUCACAAAAUUGUUUGCAAAACGUCCUUUAUUAAUGAUAUCAUUGAAAAAACAUGAUGAGGCCCUACAAUGAACCACCACGCCUUGGGCAGAACGUAGGGUUUUGUGCAAAAUGAAAAACAAAAGAAAAUUACUCUGUUUGAAGAGUAACUUGGACCACAUCCUCUGUCGUCCAGUUGUUGAUCGACUCCCCUGGUGCACACGGGCGAACCCAGUUCUCCAGAUCACAAUCACUGUCACAGUCUUCACCACCGGUUGCAAAGACGUCACCAAGAUUCAUCAGCCCAGCGCUGGUAAAGGUACUCGGACCUUUCUGCUCAAUCUGCUCCGCCUGCAGGGGUUGAUAACCAAUACCGAACUUAUCUUCUUUGACAGGCAGGUCCACCAUCUUGCCCCAGCCUUCUGACUUACCAGAGUUGACAACCUCCACUGCCUGCUUGUAUGAUGCAAUUGAGGCACUUGGCUUCUUCUGCUCAGCGAAAGCCACCCUCUCAAGAGCAACAGUCUCGAAUGCCUGGCAUAAAGUUUCAUGGAUCUCGGCCACUCCACCUCUAGCAACUUGAAAGAGAUAGGUGACUCACCAGAAUGUCUUCUUCACCGCACACAGUCACAAUCUGACCGUUCCAGACAUACUUCAGCUUCUGGUGGAGAGUUGACGAAACUGCCCCAGCUGCGUGAAUCCAGGGACGCCCCAAUAAGCAACUAUAUGCUGGCUGAAUGUCCAUCACAUAGAAGACAAUACUUAACACCUCCGGGCCUAUCUUCACCGACAACGUGACUUCACCAAAAACAGACCGUUUGGAUCCAUCAAAAGCACGAACAAUCAGAUCGCUCGGAGUAAGGAUAACCCCUUCAACAUCUAUCUUGCCUAGAGUCUUCUUGGGAAGCACAUUCAAAGACGAACCAGUAUCCACCAACACGUGUGAUAAUACUGCGCCUUUGCACUCCAUGGUAAUAUGCAAGGCCUUGUUAUGGUUGCGACCUUCAGGCGUCAAAUCUAAGUCUGUGAACCCCAAACCAUGCCUGGUACUCACGUUGGCAAUGACACCCUCCAACUGGUUGACAGAGAUCUCUUGAGGCACGUAAGCCAGAUUCAGCAUUUUCAACAAGGCAUUACGGUGUGCCUCAGAGCAUAACAGCAAUGAGAGUAUGGAAAUCUUGGACGGAGUUUGAUUCAGCUGAUCUACAAUCUUGUAGUCACUCUUCUUAAUUAUUUUCAUGAACUCCUCCACGUCUUUCUCAAACGAGCCCUCAGGCGCCUCCUUCUGAGCAGAUUCUUCAUCAACCACAGCUUGUUUACCCUUAGCUUUGGCAAGAGCCUCGACAUUGUUAUCCUUCAACGGUUGUGAAGCAAACAAACGUCCGCUUCUUGUAAAACCUCCUGGUCCCCCAACAUUGUCCACAACGGGACCCACAAUCACAGGAGUUCUACUAGGCACACCAAUAGUCACCGGAGCUUGAUUCACUGGCCUGACCUGACUUUCAGCCCUUCGAUUACUACGGUAAGCAUUGUCAUACUUCCAUGGCACAUCCCUACUGUUCUCAACCGGCCUUCUUCCUGAAGCAACGAUGGUAGUUGGAGCACCGACGGUUACAGGAGCAGAAAUGGUAACAGGAAUACCACUAGUUGUAGGCGCAUUAACAGUUCUCUGGCCACGUCCCUCGGACGGUUUGAAGUAAAUGGUGACAGUUGACACCACCCCACGAUAUUUAACGGCCCGACUAAACUGUAAACAACCCUCAUCGAUCAGAUUCUGAAUACCAGCCCUCAACUGUACACAACCAUCCUCUAAACCAGCACAAUCUAAACAGUCUUGAUCACAACCCGGGUAUACUCCCCCUUUCAACAAACGAUCCUUCACAACACCCAACGGAGUCUGAAUCUCCUCAACACUGACCACCAAGUCUUCAGCUUUACCGUCUUCCAAAUUAUUCACUCUAUGCGCACCAUGCUGAGGCAUAGGAUUGUUCACAACAUUCGGCACAGGAGCAAAAUUGAUAGUUUUGGCGUCAAUUAAGUCCUGGACCUUAUGAUGAAAAGCCCUACAGUUCUCAAUGUGGUGCCCCGGAGCACCAGAAUGGAAAUCACAAUGUACGUUGGCAUCAUACCCAUGUGGUAUUUUUGUCAAUGGAGCCAUAGUACGCAACUCCAUGAACCCCAAUCUGAGCAAUUCGGGCAACAGUUCAGCAUAGGUCAUUGGCAACGGGUCGAAUCGACGAUCCGGCAUUCUCUGUCUAGGCUGAUACGGACGUUGCUGUUGUUUUUGUUGUUGUGGUGGUUGUUGAACCCUCUGUUGUUGCUGUUGUUGACGUGGCUGAGGUGCUGGAAUGGUUACAGCAGCAACCUGGUGAUACUGACCUCUGUUAGUAUUCCUUCGGUGUUGCACAUCAUUAGUCUCACCCUCCCUUCUUCUGGGUGCCCCGGCAAAUGGUUUCUUUGAAGAUGAGGAACCAGCAUCUUGGAUCUUCCCAGCUUUAAUCAAACUCUCUGUCCUUUCUCCAUAGAUUACAACAUCUGAAAAGCUACCAAACGGGCAGCUCCCCAUCCGGUCCAUGAAUACACCUUGCAAUGUACCGAUGAACAUGUCAGUCAAUUCCCUCUCCAGCAUAGGGGGUUGUACUCGUGCAGCCAACUCGCGCCACCUUUGGGCGUACUCCUUGAAACUCUCUCCAGACUUUUGACAAAGACUUUGCAACUGAGUCCGGCUCGGCGCCAUGUCCAUAUUAUGUUUGUACUGCCUCAAGAAGGCCUCACCCAAAUCCCUCCAGCUUCGGAUAGAUUCUCUCUUUAACUCCAUGUACCAAACCAAGGAAGCCCCAGACAAGCUGUCCUGGAAAAAAUACAUCCACAUUUUCUCGUCGUCUGUAUAAGCAGAGAUUUUCCUGUAGUAGGCCUGUACAUGGGUGCGAAGGCAAGAAGUACCGUUAUAUUUGUCAAAUGAGGGCGCUUUGAACUUGUAGGGAAUUCUCAACCCUUUCAACCAGCCCCAUAUUCGUGACAUCAAAACCCAAAGAGUUCUGACACUCCAUGGCUCUGAUCUUCUAAGCUAGGGCAUCAACUUUCCGAUCUCGUUCGUCGAUUCUUCCCACGACUUCAUCAUCCUCACUGAGGAGAGUAAACAUGUCUUCCUGCCUGUCAACCAGCGGAGCAGGAUGGCGCACGGGAGCACGGGUUUCUCUGGCAUUAACAGUCUCUGCAGCAAGAGGCUGUCCAUUAAUCUGAAUACCUCUCAAAUCAUCACCCAUGGCGUAAUCAUUGACGGGAGCAACAACAGCAGCAUUGUCGGUCACAGGUGCACCCACCGGUGAGGCACGACUAGGUGGUAGAACGGCUUCCUGUCUCUGGGCUAAGGCACGCAACUCCUCUUGCCCUUGAACGACCCCUUGCAUCAUGGUCAUGAAUUGGGCCAUGUUAGCCCUCAUCUCAGCCAACUCUGCCUGAACCUGGUCCAUGCUCCUCUGUUGAUUCAAUCUGGUUGCAUAGCGGUGCGUACGUUGAUCAGCAAUACUGCCUGACACAGGAACCAGAGUGAGAAGUCUCGAUCUAGAACACCUGUAAUGCAAAAUGAUAUGUGUAUGAUGCUAAUGAUGCGUAUGAUGCACAUGAUAUGUUCAUUUCUCAGACAUUCAAGAGCCCAAUUCAUCUUUCAAGAAAUGGCAACCUGCAACAAUGAACAACGCAGAAGCAGACUACACAGGAUAAUAAGCACAAAGUGAAACAUCAACAGCCAACUUUAUAGAUAUGAGCAACAAGGAUCAUACAACAAAGGUUCAAAGAUCCAAACGAUCAGAGUACAACAAUGAAUCCCAUCCAACAAGCCUGGAGGUGAUUCUCAACAUAAACAACAGAGACACAAGCUAAGACAAAUGGCCUCCAGGAAUGAGCGUCUUCAGAUAAUGGCACUGGUCUAUCAACAAGUCACAUUCUGAACAUUCUGGCAGGGGAGUGAUCUUCUCCUUCAAUUGUCUUCUGAGCUCCACAACUUCUCCUCCAAGUUGGCUCUCUGAUGCAUGUCUCAAAUCUACUUCCUUCUUCAAUUGGAUGUCUUUGUCUCUGAGUUGCUUCUCCAAGUCUCUUAUCUUCUUCUGAUAACUGGCUUCAGCUCUCUGCAACCUCAAGCACUCACAAUGCUCUGCAUUCAACAGGGUCUCCAUCUCCUCAUAGGAUCUCUUCUUACCCUUCAAUCUAGCAACAUCCUCACCCUGCAUGUCCUUGAGUUGAUGAGCCAAGUUCAACUUAUCAGCUUUGGCUUUGUACAACUCCAUCUGGGUAUCCUGUUCCUUCUCCUUCAACCGACGAUUCUCCAUCAGGGCUUGCUUAUACUGCUCAGCAGGUACGCUCUCAGCAAGGAUCAAAGGUGGUUGCUCUUGCAAUGGCUCCAUCCUAUCAUAGGGCAACAACAAAGUCUCAACUCUCUUCUUGACCCAAUCAAGGUAAUCAGGCAUAGCAACGACAAACUUCUUCCCCAGAACAGCUCCAUCCUUGACACCAAUGGUCUUCCAAGCCCUUCCUACUUGCUUCAAUCUAGCAGGGUCACUUCGCUUCUCAAAGUAUACACUUUCAGCUAUCUCAGCAUCAAGUGGUCUUCCAUUCAUCACAAACCCCAACUGGCGAAGAGAAAGAACCAGAUUGUAAUUGAUGCAACCCUUAGUCCCUACAAGUGGCACAUUACGGAACUCUCCACAACUCAUGAUGACAUUACGCACAUCCAUCCGGUAAGAUUGCCACCUGAUAUCAUAAGAGGUAAGAGACAUAAUCCUCUGAGUCCACUUAUGAGUGCUCUGAGCAUCCACGAAAGGUCCACUGACUGGCAGGAGAGACAAGAACCAUCUGAGCAACAAUGGGAGACAACAUCUGAUAGCUCCACCCUUACCAUGCCUACUGUGAAUAGCAUAGUAAGUGUCAGCUAACAAAGUAGGAAUCGGGUUCCCUCCAAUGAAGAUAGUGACUGCAGCAAAGUCUACAAAGUUGGGCAUACUCGGGAACAAGACAAUCCCAUAAAUCAUGAUGGCCAACUGAGCAUGAAAAGCCUCCCAAUUUCCCUUCUCUGCUUCUUCUCUAGCUAUCCUCAACAAGAACUUCAAAGGCAAACCCACAACAUCCCCACUUGACUUCCAAUUAUCACCCACUUCUUUGAUACUCAGAUUAAGAGCUCUGGCAACAACUCUGAAAUCAACCUCCUUUGGAACAUCCAAGAAAGGAACCUGAUACCGGAUCGGGACAUUCAGCAGAAUAGAGUACUCUUCAAGAGUAGGAGCUAGCUGAUAAUCCUGGAAAGUGAAGCAACGGAGCUCUGGGUCAUAGAACUGUAGAAGAGUCUGCAACGGCACUGGAUCUACCACCAUCCUCAAUAGUGUCAACAAAUCCCCAUACUGAUCAGCGAACCCCUUCUGAUUACCGCCGGUCACCAAGUUGCUCAACUCUAUCAAAGAAGUCAAAGGCUCACGGUGAAAACUAUAGGAGCAAGUCUUCCGCUUCAACUCUGGAACGGAUGUCAUCCCUUACAAUGAAUAGACUCCUGAAUGAACCUGAGAAAUGAUAUGCAUGAAGAGAUUAGCUUUUUUUCUUUCUUUUUUCUUUCUUUCCAUUUCUUUUUUUCAUUUUUUUUAUUGCAUUAUUUUUUGAAAAUAAACAUGCUAUGAUGCAAAUGAUGCAGACAAGACUGGCUGGCUGUGUAUCUCGGAGCACAGGAUCAAAGCUUCGACUUGAACUCGGAACCACAAAAUCAGCUGAGACCCAAAAAUCAUCUAAGACCCAAUCUGUAGAACCAAGUCACCAACAGGAUCACAAGUCACCAACAAGUCACCAACAAGUCACCAACAAGUCACCAACUGUACCUGUAAUAAUGAUCAUUCCCUCCCCACUCACGGGUGUCAUCUAGGCCAGGGUAAGGUCAGGAUCACAAGUCACCAACAAGUCACCAACAAGUCACCAACAAGUCACCAACUGUACCUGUAAUAAUGAUCAUUCCCUCCCCACUCACGGGUGUCAUCUAGGCCAGGGUAAGGUCGAGAGAAACGCAGGAUAAAUAACCCUUUCAUAGAAUAUCAUCAUAUACACACCCGAAGUAUGUAACGACGAUACCCCAUCAGAGUCUGAACUGCUCGUGAUAUCAAGUUCCGCUAAGUGGCGCAAUACUACCCGCUUCCCAUGAAUCACUAUAUUCCUAGGUGUCCUAGAUUUCACUCAUAGCCUGGUUAUUGGGCCUUUUACCUCUUGUAACUCCAACCCCAACAGAGAGACAAACACAGCACAACCAGCACAGAUGAAAAGAUGAUGCAUGCAAACAUAAAUGCAAACAAUAAAUAAAUGAAUGCAAUAAAUGAAACAGCAAAAGCAAACAAACCCUACCCUAGAGAGCGCUAGGAGAGACUCGCUUAGGGAAGAUGGACCAGCAAGAGGUCAACUUCAAAUUAUCCCCAGCAAAGUCGCCAGCUGACGCAUUACGCGAAAAACCGGCGGGAAAACAAAACAACAGAGCCGCCACCGUGCGUUAUUUAUCCCAAAAGAGGGAAAGAAAACGCUCGAAGUAAACCUGGAAAAGACAUGGUCUCGCGACCAAAGAGAGAUGGGAUCGGGAGUCGGUUAUGCGAAGAAAACCUGGAAAAGACAUGGUCUCGCGACCAAAGAGAGAUGGGAUCGGGAGUCGGUUAUGCGAAGGGAAGGUAUUAGCACCCCUACGCAUCCGUCGUACUCGACGGGAUCCACGCACAAAAGAAAGGACAAGGUUGCUAAAACUGAUCAAACACCACACAAGGCUGGAAGGAAACACAAAAAGACAAGAGAAACUAACUCGGAAGGAUAUCGCAUCCUGGGCCUACGUAGUCUGUCAGGCACAAACAUCAGAGUCGACGUAGUUCGGGACAGGGGAAGCGUGCUCGCUAGGAUGUCGCAUCCUAUGCAUACGUAUCUUCUCUGACUAGAGAAGAAUCAGAGCACUCGUAGCUCGGCUAACGCACGCCAAACGAAACCACACAGGAAACCGACUGCCAAUCGCUGGACUUACGUCAGACUCCACACAAACAGGCAAACCUGGAAACCGAAUGCCAAUCGCUGGACUUACAUCAGACUCCAAACCAACAAACACACACAGGAAACCAACUGCAGAAACCGACUGCCAAUCGCUGGACUUACGUCAGACUCCACACAAACAGGCAAACCUGGAAACCGAAUGCCAAUCGCUGGACUUACAUCAGACUCCGAACCAACAAACACACACAGGAAACCAACUGCUAAUCGCUGGACUUAUGUCAGACUCCAACAAGCAAACAAGACACAGGAAACCAACUGCCAAUCGCUGGACUUACGUCAGACUCCAAACACACACAAAGGGGGUUGAAAAAGAAAAGGGCGCCCGGAGAGAUCAGCUCAUCUCCUGCCUACGUACCUCAUCUGGUAUGAGGAUCAGGGCGACGUAGUUCCCCUACACAGGGAAAGAAGGACUAACCUAACCAGAUACAAAGGGAGACACAAACUACUAGGGAGACUACGACUCAAGCCUAAAAGUUAUCAUGCAUACCAUCCCUAUGUUAAGGUUUCUAUCUAACUUGCACAGGAAGCAAGCUAUCCUAAACAGCACAAGCAAAGUCAUACAAGCACAACAAGCAAGCACACACACUAGAUGCAAACAAAUGGGUUCAUACAAGGUUAGGCUGUGAAACACAAGCCAACUGGAAUCGGGUGUAGUUAGCUCUUAACCCUAACAUUGAGAGUUAGGGUGAAGCUGAUGAAAUGGGAAGUGAGGGUAAGACCUCACAGCUCUUANNNNNNNNNNNNNNNNNNNNNNNNNNNNNNNNNNNNNNNNNNNNNNNNNNNNNNNNNNNNNNNNNNNNNNNNNNNNNNNNNNNNNNNNNNNNNNNNNNNNUCUAAUCAUUUCGGCUUUGCCUUUUGGCUAGCCAUGCCAUUAAAAUAUAAUACCUUUAGGAACAAGAAAUCUCCUAAACAAUUGCAUUCUCAAUGGUGUGGCCAACACCGACAACAAUAAUGACAUAACCAUGAUGAUGUGGUUUUAUAUUAUUCUUGUUCAUUAAAUCCUUUGGAAUGAAAGAGUAUUUUGCAUAUGGUGGAUUUAACGACUUCUUAAACAACCUAGAGUCAACGGCAUAAGUGACCUUAGGUUGCAACGCUUUUCUAAUUUGACCUUAAGAGUGUUUACCUCUUUUGCCAAAUAUGACAAGCGUCACAAUACCUAACUCUACUACAUCCAUCAAUGUCAAUAUCUUGAAUUUUCUGCAAUACUAUCUUUCAACGCUUCUAAAUCAUUUUGAGCUUUUGAUACUUACCUUCCAAAAAGAAAAAAUAUGUUUGUCGGAAGAUAGUCUUUUAAAAGCAUCUACAGCUUCAUUAUGCAGUUUUUCAAAAGCUAUUUUUAGUUCGGAAAAAGACAUAGAGAGAAAUUAUUGUAAUAGCUGUUUUACCUUUUUUGUCAUUGUUUUUCUUCUUGUGGUGGACACAAUUUUUGUGUGAGCCAUAAGGCACAGAUUUGCGGCUUCAUCACCAUCACUUGAGCUUUGUGUGCUUGAUGAAUCACUAUCACUUUCCAUGCAAUGUACGCUCUUCUUGUUUGCUGUACCCUUUUGGUGAAGCUUUUCUUUUGAUCCUUAUACUUCAGGGCAGUCCGUUUAUAAUGUCCAGAUUUAACACAAUUAAAACAAGAUCCUCUUCCUCUACUCUUCUUGUUCUCUUCUCUUGUUUCGAAUCUGCAGAUUGUCUUCGAAACUUCAUGAGAUUUUUGUCGGAAUGCUUGACUCCAUUCUUUCGAAUGAAUCUAUUAUAUCUCCUUACAAACAGUCCCAUUUCCUCAUCAUCCGAAUCUUUUGUCGCUACUAGAAUCAUUUUCACUUUGCUCUUUUCGUGAGGACUUAGAGCUAGAGGCCACAAGAGCUAUUGGCUUCUUCUCUCCCUCUUUGUCUCUUUUCUUCUCCUUUUCCUUCUUACUUUUGUUUCUCUAUUUUCAAGACUUUCCAAUGCUUGCUGAUGUUCUUCCAGCUUUCCAAACAAGUUGUAAUCAUAAGUCUCGUUAGAUCGUUGGCUUCCUUAAUUGUUGUUACUUUAGGUUCCAUUCCCUGCUAAGACACCUGAGAAUUUUAUUAGUAGCAAUUUCAUUGGAAAUAGGUUUUCCAAGCGCAUUCAAUCAGUUGUUAGAUGAGAUGAAUCUCUUUUGCAUGUCGGAGUAGAUUCUCCUUGUUUCAUGCGAAAGAGCUCAAAUUCUUGAUUGAGUGUGUUAAUCCGGGACUGUGUUACUUCAGUAGUACCCUCAUGGGCAACUUCUAAGCAUCCACAUUUCUUUAGCUGUCGUGCAAUGGGAUACUCGAUAAUACUCAUCAACACCAAGUGCUGAAAUUAGCAUGUUUCGAGCUCCCAAUCACACGACCACUUUUUCUCAUCUUUCUCAUUCCAAUCAUCUUCUGGUUUAGGUACUUGGCGCCACCAGCCCGGUUUUCUAGUAGCGGUUCAGAAUAGACGGAAGUCGAUUCGGGACUGAUAUUUUCUGCCAACUUUAAAAACUCUGAUAAAACUUUAAAUCCGUUAAAUUUUAAAGAGGUGAUCUAUUCACCCCCCCUCUCGAUCACUAGCCACACCGUCUAACAAAAUUCAACUUUCAAGGGCAUGUGACAAGAGGAAAGAUUAUAGGUCAUUUUGCGCCAUUACCAUUGAACAAACAAUUUUCCUCAACUUCUAAAAUGCAUAAAUCCCUCAUGCUAAAUCCAAAUGAUUUAAAAUUUGUGACCUAAUUUAAUAGGGAUGAAAGAGAUAAAAAAUUUAUGAAGGAACUCUUUCCAUUUAAAGUUAAUAGAAAAAGUUAUUCAAGGUGGAAGAAGUGGUUAUUUGGCUUGGUACUUAGAAAAGUUUCAAUUAUGUUUGAUUUCUUAGAAAAGUUAUUCAAGGUGCAAAACUGAAUUCCAUUGACUAUAUAAACAAGUGCGUUGCCUCAAGAAUAACACAGACACCUUGCCCAAGCUUUGCCAAGAGAUCUCUAAACCUCACACCAUAUAAUAUCUUGAGGAUUUCUUAGAAAUCAAUUUUGAAUUUGACCUUCUGUAUUGAAGUUCAAACUCCAAGGAUUCAUUUCCUUUUUCAUCUCAAUUGGUCACUGCAAGCAAGAGGAGGAAGAAUCAAGCAAAUUCAGAUCAAGAUCAAGCUGAAUUGAAGCUACCCAAAGGUGAAAUUUAAGAAACUUGUCUUCUUCGAUUCUCCCUCAUUUCUCAACUAUUUUGAUUGAGUUUUGGUUUGAUGAAGUCCUAUCAAUGUAGGCAACAAGAUUGAGUUACUUUGAGGUCAAAUCGAAGCAACUCAGAUCACAAACCUUAAAUUUCAAAUCCAUGUAUCUUUCAAUAUACUUGGAAUUGGAAGAAAUAGAGGUCAGAUUCGUGCUCCUGAGCGGUUUGCCUUUAAACAAUGUCCUUGUUUUUCAUUUUGGUGGUGGUUUGUGAUGGACCAGUCCGAUGAGGUCCACCGGAGCUAGGUCUCUGGUGGUGCGUUGGCAUCUUCCAAACCAUCAGAUCCCUUUGAAAUGUUUUAAUCCUGGUCUUUCCUUUUGAUUACCAUGCGUGUGGUGUAGUUGACUGAGGUGUUUAUGGAACGCGCACGCUUGGCCAUCAGAUCUGUCAUCUCAAUUAAUGAGGGAGAUCUGAUGACCCUUGAUUUUUCAUAUUUUCAUAUUUUUCAUUUAAUUACCUUUUUUGUUUAAUUCAUAAUAAAUCUAUUUUUAAUCCAAAAAAUAUGGUACUUUCACCAAAAAAUCUUUAAAUAUUUUUCUCUUCCAUAUUCUAAAUAAAAUUUUUUUUUGGGAUUGAUUUUGGUAUUUUUCAUGAAUUAAAUGUUUUUAUGCAUAUUUUUAAUUAUUUAAAAAUACUUCUGACUUUUUAAAAAUUCUGAAUUUUUUUGUCUAAGGCCCUUUGGACAUGUUUGACAUAGGAUAAAUCCCUUGGCCAUUUAUUUGGUGUUUUGAAGGGAUUUUACGUUUUGUCCAAAUUAAAAUGUAUUUUAAUUCAUUUUUAAUGUGUUUUUUAAUUGAUUAAAUGUUUAAAAAUUAUUUUGAGCCAUUUUUAUGGUCUUGUGGUGUUUGACUUUAUGUUUGGGCUUUGAUAAUGGUUUAUUUGACUUUUGUUGGAUCAAAACCAUUGGAUUUAGAGGAUUUACAAAAUGUACAUUUCAUCUCCCAAAAUGAAUGGAUGGUUUUGAUUAGUUGAAAUUCCUCUCAUGAUCAAUUUGUGUUUCUAUCUCCUAAUUCCUCUUUAUCUUCAUCCCUAUUCUUCCCCAUUCCCUCAUUUGACCAAUAAAAUCUCUAAUGUCUAAAGGUUAAUUGACUCAUCAAUGACCUUGUGUCAGAUGAAUGAAUACAAGUAUGACUGAGAUACGUCCCUCCCAUUUUUGUUUAAUGUGUGGUAUGCUUUAGGAGUUUGAUUCUUCGUAUCAAAUAUCUAACAUGCAUUAAUACCUAUAUCUUAUUUCCCGACCUCAACUAGUUGUGACUUCUACAUAAUUCCAAUUACAAUUGCUUAAUAUAUAGCUAAAUUUGAUCAAGAAGGUAUGUCAUUCUAGUAAGUAAGAUUGUAAGUAUCCCAUUCUUCAUGGCAUUGUGUGGAAACUUGACAUUUUUUCCUUUCAUGAGAGCUAGUGGCAUACUUGUUGAGUUAUCCAAGGUAGAGUCCUUCUCAUGGAAGAUGUCUUGGUUUAAGGAUUCAGACUUGUGAGUGAAUGGUUGAGUGUUCUCCAAAGAAUGACUUAAUAAAUUAAAACUCAACACCAACCUUUGACUAACCAUUAACUAAGUCUUAUUCAUUAUGCUUUUACUUUCGAGUUAAUUACUUUAUGCGAUUAGUCAUUUACCAUUCAUUGUCAUUUGAACUUGUUUAUGUUUAAGUCCUUUUUCACUAUGCUCAUUUGAGCCAUAUUUUAUGAUUGUAUAUAUUGUUUGUUCUUUUUGAUUUUGUUUGUGGUCUUAUGACCUUAAAACGCCUAAUAACAACAAAAACCCUAAAAAAACAUUUGGUGGACUGUUGGAACUGGAUCUAAGCUUUGGACUUAGAAUUAGGCAACUUUCCUUGUGCUAAAGGACUUGGCCAAUGCCAAGAUUUUUAGACUGAACUAUCUUUGACCAUUGCCUUCAUUUGAUUGCAAUACUUGAGGAUUUCUUGGAUUCAUCUACUACUCUGUCUUUGUGCUUAAUUGUUAUUUUGAUCUUAUGUCUGAUGUUUUGUUCUGAGUUGAUCAAAGAAUAUUUUAUCUAAUACAUUGGAAGACAAAGAAAAUUGCUAGCUAUUGGAGUGCUUGCUUGGAUGUGGCUAUCUUUAUUUGAUGCCUUGAUCAUCAUGAUGUCUGGAUAUUUCUUGUUGCCUUUUGCUUGAUUAAAGUCCAAAGGAAAAUGAGUUUCUAUAUGACAUUCUUGUCUAUUGGAUUGCAUCCCAUUGGUCAGAUCUUUUCAACUCUAAACUUUUAAAUUCGUGCUUAGGAUAGCCUCUUCAUCUCCUCCCACUUCUUUAAUUUCAAAAUCUCUCUCUCUCUCUUUUCAAAAACCUUAUUUGCUUGUGAUUUCAAACAUAGGCAUGUUUUAAUGAUUAGAAACUUUGGCCUUAUGCCAUUGAAUUUUCAAACUCUUUCUUAAAUCAAACUUGUGAAUGAACUUAACCAUAUUGACUUUAAUUUUGAAAAGACAAAACGAACUAACGACCUAAUUUAAAUGUUUGGCCUUUUUGUGUCCUCUUCUAAAAACUUUUGUUAAAAUCAAUUCACCCAUUUAUUUGAAACAUUCACCACGAACUACGGGGUUUUGAUCCCUCAUUUUUAUGUUGGUACGUAGGCAUAACACCGAAGGUCUUGUCAAAUAGAAAAAUAUAAUAAAUAAAUUCUUUUCUCAUCCCCACACUCUAUUUUAUCAAACAUAUUUUAUACCAAAAACAUAUGCACACAUAAAAAAGGCAUCCCUAGGAGUACUUAGGACACUUUGGGUGCUAACACCUUCCCUCUGUGUAACCAACCCCCUUACCUGUAAUCUCUGACAUUCUAUUAGUUUUAAUUUGAAAACUUCUUAUCUUUGGGUUUUUUUUCAUACUUUUCCCUUUUCCUUUGGAAACAAUAAAAGCGUGGUGGCGACUCUGGUUUUAUUGACGUUAAGCUUAUCCAUAGCUUGUUGGUCAUGAAUUUACCGCUACAAAAAUUAAGUGGUGACUCUGCUAGAGAGUAGUCCUCAGUGAGUUUAGACCAAUUUUUUAUGUGUAUAUAUUUGUAUAUUUGAUGUUUGUAUAUUUGUUUGUGUGAUAUAAUCUGUCUGUUUUGCUUGGUGAUCUCUGAGUGGUGAGAUAAGUUCUAACCCGAACUUGAAUGCAUUUAAGAUAGGAGGAUGGUAUAGUCAUCUUCAACUUGUGUGGAGUAGUCCUUAACAUGUUGGCUUGAGACCCAUCUACUCAGUGGAGAACUCUUUGGAGUUACUAAUGUCACAAAAGCUAUUUGUGGAUAGGAACUACUUUCUUUAAAUCUGGGGUUCAAGAAGCUGAAGACCGUAGAACAUUUAACCUAACAUGGACUAUUUAGGACGUAGUGCGGAGACUGUUCAAGUGUAGACUUGAUAACAGUUGUUACGCGAUACUACACUCAAACGAGUUUCUCUUGAGAAUAUUUUGGGUUGAUGAGUCAGUCAUCCUAACCUAUAAUAUCCUAUAGAUGGGAUUGAGACUCUGGGCACUUUUAUAGAACAUGUUUUACAUGUUUCAUCCUUAGUACACUCCUUUGGGAUGGUUCUUAACUUGACUCCAUACUCGUGACUCGCAACAAACCCUUUGAUUCUUCGUCGAUCUAAUCAAUUCUCAUAAAUAUCAAUGGAACUUGGGUGUUAAUAAGGUGAAAACCAUAAUCCACGAGGAUGGAUGACUGAUCUUGAUGAUGACUUGAUCCAUCCCUUGACCUUUGUUUGUGUUUGCCUUGUGUGUGAUCCCUUGUUUGUGAUUGUUGCAUUCAUGCAUACAUACGCAUCAUAACAUUCAUCACAAAAAUAAAAUUUCAAGGAAACUAAGGUCUUAUUUGCAAAUACUUUCAGACUAUGGGUUAUGGACGAAGAAACACUAAGAAGUACAGUUUCAGAUGUCCUAAUUUGAAAGAGCUAAGGAAGUUGUCAUCCUUUGUACUAGAUCCGUUUGAAGGAGAUGAGCGAUCCAAAAUGCAGUGGAAUUUAAAAUUUUCUCCUUUAGUGAUCCUUACGAAUGGGCAUGAUCAGUGAUAGAAUCAUUACCUCUUGUGGCGAUUUUAACCUUUGAUGCAGAUCUACGGAGCGAUCACGAACGUUGAAUGAUAACAACGCCUCUACUCAGUCCACACGAACGAAUUCCUUCAAUCUCAGUGCUAGCUACUACGAAUGAAGGCUUUGAGUGAGUGAGAGAGAGUAGAGAAAUUCCAUCUUCAUAAAUGCUUCUGCACAAGGGUUCUAUUUAUAGAACCACUUGUGUGGGCUGCAAGCUAAAAAUCCCACUUAAGUGUACGUGGCCCAUAUCUUAUAAUAUGCCAAAAUCACUUAAGCACGUGGUACCUUACCAUAUUUCAUAUUCUACUUAAGUACACCGUACCUUACGAUGUUCUAUAAUUCACUUAAGUGCACCGUACCUUACGGUGUUCCUUAGUUACUCUAUCUCUCAUCAAGUGGUACCUUACCAUAUUUCAUAUUCUACUUAAGUACACCGUACCUUACGAUGUUCUAUAAUUCACUUAAGUGCACCGUACCUUACGGUGUUCCUUAGUUACUCUAUCUCUCAUCAAUCCGUCCUUUUGUGUGUGACCCUAUAGGUUUUUGCGGCAUUGACAAUUAUAUUAAAUCACGUAUUUAACAUAAUAAAUAGUGAGUGGUAUCUAGCAACACAUCACUGCUACCCAAAACACGAAAAUGUCAUGUGAUCUGACAAAUCCUUUUGUGUAUAAUUACCCUUUUGCCCUUAUGUCUAUAUUGAACACAAGGCAUAAACCGUGUCAUCCUUGUCUAGUUCAAUAUUGGGCCCAUAGACAUUUACCCUGUUACGCAGGAUGGCCAAAUUCCAUCUAGGUCACUCAUGUCCCUUAGCAUGCUUCGUGGAGUACCCAUCGACUGUCUUUAUGGUCAUCCAGUUACGGACAAUGUUUGAUCAGCAAUAAGGCACUCGACUCUACAUCUAGGGUCCAUAGUGGUUUCAGGUCGAAGGUGGUAUACACCAUUAUCACCAUGAGAAUAACUUAUGACACUUUGCAUAACAUUCUAUAUAUAUUCUCAUAGUGGUCAAUCCAGUAUAAAUAUUACUCUUAAUAUUCAUAUCUAUGUUUAAGACUUGAUAACUCCUUAUCCAUAUCCAUGAGAUGUAUCAUCAGUCUACUAUACAUAAUAGUCUUAAUGCUUUAAUGUUAUCCCACUUCACAAUAAAGCUCGACUACAGAUACUUUAAGAAUAGUGUCCUUAUGUUUAAUGUGAUCUCAUGAUUAAGUCACACUUGAUACAUUAAACAAACUAGCUACUCUAGGGAUUUUAUUAAACAAACAUAAUAAAGAAAAAUCCUUUUAUUAUUAAUAAAUAAUUCGAUACAAGUACCAAAAGUAUUGGCCUCUAGGGCUUACAACAACAAUCUCCCACUAGCACUAGAGCCAAUCAGGCAUACCCCUAAUGCUCAUAGAUCUAGUAUGGCCAUCAUGCUUUUGCUGCGCAAGAGGAUUUGUCAGUGGGUCAGCAAUAUUAUCAAGUGUAGGUACUAUGCAUAUUUGCACAUCUCCUCUAUCUAUUAUCUCUCGGAUGAGGUGAUAACGCCUAAGUAUGUGAUUGGAUCGUUGGUCAGAUCUAGGCUCCUUAGCUUGUGCUCUAGCACCAUUGUUAUCACAAUAGAGACCAAUGGGAUCCAUAAUGCUAGGAACUAUGCCAAGUUCACUAAUGAACUUUUUGAUCCAAACAACUUCCUUUGCUACACUUGAGGCAGCAAUAUACUAGGCCUCGGUUGUAGAAUCAGCAAUGUAUGUUGCUUUGAACUUUUCCAGCUCACAGCGCCACCGUUUAAGCAAAAUGCAUAACCAGAUUGCGAUCUAAAGUCAUCCUUAUCUGUCUGGAAGCUAGCAUCGGUGUAUCCAAUUAUAGAAAGCUCUUCCUGAUCUUCAUAUAUCAAGAAUGAGUCCUUAUUCCUUCUCAAAUACUUGAGGAUAUUCUUGACAGCUACCCAAUGAGCAUCACCAGGAUCAUAUUGGUACCUACUCGUUGCACUUAAAGCAUACGAGAAAUCUGGUCGAGUACAUAACAUGGAACACAUGAUAAAUCCUAUUGUAGAUGCAUAUGGAAUCUUAUUCAUGCGAUCCCUUUCUUCCUUAGCUGAAGGGGAUUGCGUUUUUGAUAAACACAUGCCAUGUUGCAUAGGUAUGAAUCCUUUCUUGGAAUCAUGCAUAUUAAAGCGUCUCAGCACUUUGUCUAUGUAUGUACUCUGACUUAGGCCAAGCAGUUCUUGUGAUCUAUCUCUAUAGAUUCUGAUUCUUAAUAUAUAGGCUGCUUCACCUAGGUCCUUCAUAGAAAAGCAUUUCCCCAACUAAGACUUUACUUGUUGCAGGGUAGGGACAUCAUUUCCAAUGAGUAAUAUGUCAUCUACAUAUAAUACCAAGAAAACAAUCAUGCUCCCACUAACCUUCUUGUAGACACAAGGCUCAUCUUCGUUCUUGAUGAAUCCUUAUUGUUUUACUAUUUCAUCAAAACAAAGAUUCCAGCUUCUGGAAGCUUGCUUCAAUCCAUAGAUUGAUCUUUGUAACUUACAUAUCUUUUGGGCUUCUUCUGGCAUGUCAAAUCCUUCAGGCUGUGUCAUGUACACAUCCUCAAGAAGAUUCCCAUUAAGGAAAGUAGUUUUGACAUCCAUCUGCCAUAUUUCAUAAUCAUGAUAUGCAACGAUAACAAGUAAAAUCCGAACAGAUUUAAGCAUUGCAACUGGUGAAAAGGUUUCAUCAUAGUCAACCCCAUGAAUUUGUUUAACAUCUGCCAUAUUUCAUAAUCAUGAUAUGCAACGAUAACAAGUAAAAUCCGAACAGAUUUAAGCAUUGCAACUGGUGAAAAGGUUUCAUCAUAGUCAACCCCAUGAAUUUGUUUAUAUCCUUUUGCAUCCAAUCUUGCCUUAUAGGUAUGUGCCUUGCCAUCCAUGUCAGUUUUCUUUUUGAAGACCCACUUGCAUCCUAUAGGGUUAACUUCUACAAGAGGCUCUACCAAGGUCCAAACAUGGUUUGUGUACAUGGAAUCCAUUUCAGAUUUCAUGGCUUCUAGCCACUACUCGGGACCAGUUAUGGCCUCUUGGUAGGUCACAGGCUCAUCUUGAUCCAUGAGUAAUACAUCACCUUAAUCAGUUAUGAGAUAUCCAUAUCUCUCAAGUAGGUGACGUAUCCUACUUUACCUACGCUGGUCUUGUUCUACUUUAGCAGGUUGCUCUUGUCGCAUUACGCGAAAAACCGGCGGGAAAACAAGAACAACAGAGCCGCCACCGUGCGUUAUUUAUCCCAAAAGAGGGAAAGGAAACGCUCAGAGUAAACCUGGAAAAGACAUGGUCUCGCGACCAAAGAGAAUGGGAUCGGGAGUCGNGGAGCAUGUGUCACAAAAAGUCAACAUAAGACCAAACAGGGGAGAAAAAUCUCAAACAAAUAGGAAAUGCCACAAACAAUCCCAAGAAAAAUCACAUGUAAACUAGACAUACUCAAGUACAUUCAUGCAAAAACUCAAUCCAAUUUGAGGUCAAGAGGCAUGGUAAAGAAAAUCAUGAAGUUGCACAUCAAUGGUGUGACACAAAUUGUCACACCCUACUUCAGAAAAUCAUAACUCAAUGACCAGAGAUGAAAAAUUCAUAAACUCUAUACCAAAAUCACCAUGAGUGUGUCUAGUUUAAUCACAAAAAAUUUCAAAGCCAAUGGACGAAUCAUCAUCAUUUCACAAUUGAUUUGGCAAAAGGUACAAAAAAUGGUCACAUGUCACAAACCCUAGCAUCAUAUAAAAUCUACUCAUGCAAAAAUUCUGGAAAAUACAUGAUAAAAAACUAGAGAUCAAGAUGGAUAAGAUGCAAAAAAUCCCAUUAAUUUUGGAUUAAACAUAGAUGAGAUAUGAUUUUUGCAAGUUAGUACAUCCAAAUGAAAUAAAUAUUGAGAAAAUAAUUGAAACAAACAUGAUUAUUUAAAUAAUUGGACACGGAGUGGCAAUCUGGUAAAUAUUGUGAAAACUUAGAAAUAAAUAUUGAGAAAAUAAUUGAAACAAACAUGAUUAUUUAAAUAAUUGGACACGGAGUGGCAAUCUGGUAAAUAUUGUGAAAACUUAAUGAAACGGUGCGCAUGGCUUUGGGACGUGGCAACAAGCGACUGGCUCAUGGCAAUGGAAUAGUGUCUGGCCAUGCAAAACAAAAGCUACACGAAUAGGACAAGAAAUCUGGGUUUAACAUGAAGUUUAGGGUUCAGCUACAGUGACCAUCAUCAUCCUCAUCAAAUCGUGCAAAAUAUUUUGGCCCAGAAAAUGAAAUUAAGCAUACCAUUAUGACCAGCAAACCAAGCACAACAAGAAUACAUCAUUCAUUUUCACUCAAACAUGUUAACAAGGAAGCAACGAGCAAAAAUAUAUUUGGAUAUGAAACUUCAAAACCAGAUUUCUCAGCCAUCACUCCAUCAAUUUGCACGAUUCAAAGCUUAAUGAAACCAGCAUUACAGGAUCAAUCUAAAGCAUGCAAUAAUUUAGUGAAAUAAGGAGGUCGAAUUCUUACCAAGUUGGAAGAGCAGUUGUGAUGCAGUGAUGAUUUAGCCUCAAAUGCUCGAAACAGAUGAAGCUCCAAGCUCCAGAUGAUGAAUGAACAAGGUGGAAGUUGUUUUUGGUCAGGGAUUGGGAUCGUUCAGAAGUCAUCAGUCAAUGCACAUUGUUUACCAGAACACGCCUAAAAAAGUCCAGCCAUGGUCAACUGGGCCUGAUUUUAUGGUUUUGAUGGUGGGAAUUGGUGUUAAGGAGGUCUCGAUUCAUGUCCAUCAUAGACCUCAUAUAACAUGUUCAAACAUCAUCAUGGAAGAAUUUGAAGGCCAGACAAGUAAAUUUGCCAAUAAAUCAGAUAAGUUGACCUGUAAUUGGGAUAUUUGCCAAAAAUGGAAAGUCUUGGAAUCGCUCGAAACUUACAUGCAUGGAUACAAGCUUCAAAUGAUUUUUGCCCAACAUGAAAGUUGAAAGAUCUUCGUUCUUCCCAUUGUCAGCAACAAAGUCCAAGAACACUCAUUCCCAUGUAUGGUUGGCAGAGGUUUAUGAUCAAAUCAUUUUGCAAGAAAUUUUGGGUGAACUCAAAAGGCCCAUACUGUCAAAUNNNNNNNNNNNNNNNNNNNNNNNNNNNNNNNNNNNNNNNNNNNNNNNNNNNNNNNNNNNNNNNNNNNNNNNNNNNNNNNNNNNNNNNNNNNNNNNNNNNNNNNNNNNNNNNNNNNNNNNNNNNNNNNNNNNNNNNNNNNNNNNNNNNNNNNNNNNNNNNNNNNNNNNNNNNNNNNNNNNNNNNNNNNNNNNNNNNNNNNNNNNNNNNNNNNNNNNNNNNNNNNNNNNNNNNNNNNNNNNNNNNNNNNNNNNNNNNNNNNNNNNNNNNNNNNNNNNNNNNNNNNNNNNNNNNNNNNNNNNNNNNNNNNNNNNNNNNNNNNNNNNNNNNNNNNNNNNNNNNNNNNNNNNNNNNNNNNNNNNNNNNNNNNNNNNNNNNNNNNNNNNNNNNNNNNNNNNNNNNNNNNNNNNNNNNNNNNNNNNNNNNNNNNNNNNNNNNNNNNNNNNNNNNNNNNNNNNNNNNNNNNNNNNNNNNNNNNNNNNNNNNNNNNNNNNNNNNNNNNNNNNNNNNNNNNNNNNNNNNNNNNNNNNNNNNNNNNNNNNNNNNNNNNNNNNNNNNNNNNNNNNNNNNNNNNNNNNNNNNNNNNNNNNNNNNNNNNNNNNNNNNNNNNNNNNNNNNNNNNNNNNNNNNNNNNNNNNNNNNNNNNNNNNNNNNNNNNNNNNNNNNNNNNNNNNNNNNNNNNNNNNNNNNNNNNNNNNNNNNNNNNNNNNNNNNNNNNNNNNNNNNNNNNNNNNNNNNNNNNNNNNNNNNNNNNNNNNNNNNNNNNNNNNNNNNNNNNNNNNNNNNNNNNNNNNNNNNNNNNNNNNNNNNNNNNNNNNNNNNNNNNNNNAUCAAAAGGCAUUUUUGGAAUGUGCAUGCGAAUAAUUUCAAGUGUGGUAUCAAAAAAUGUGAAUCUUUUGAAUUUAGAACACUUGCCAACAUAUGCCUACCAGUUAAAAAGGCGGCUGAAAUGAUAUUUUAAACAUGUUGAGCCCAAUUCGCCAGCCUCGCACUGCAUGCACCUUCACCACUUAAGCUGAACUUGACAAAUUAGCAAAAACAUGUCAUUUUUCCAUAAUUUCGAGAUUACCACCUGCGUUAAUCAUGCGUUAAACACAUUAAAUCAGCAGUAAUAGAGAUCGUUUCACUUCUGAAUCAAACCCUAUGCAGCCACAUGUUCUAAGCAGAAAAAUUGCCAUUUCUGCUCAAUUCACCAUUUCCUUUUCAUUGUGAAUUUUUCGGCCAAAAACUGCAAAACCUGAGCUGGCUUUGUUUGCUUUAUUCUAUACCAGUCAUCUUUGAGCCAUUUCAAGCUUGUUUCCCAGUGUACAUAUCUAAGCCAUUUCUACAUUCAAGCACUCAUCAGGGCAGAGUUUGAUUGAGCAAAACCAUAGCAUUCCUGGAGCCACAUUACCUUGACAACACUUCCAAAGGACCCCUAGGUCAUGUGAACAUGUUGGACCAACCCUAGGGCCUUGGCUCAAUGGAGAUUGUACUUGCUUGAUUGAUUGACUGAUCUCCUGAUCAGUUUGACCUAAUUCUUCUGAAUGGCUUGCACUUGAGGCAAAGGGACAAUGCAAUGCUAUGCAGUGGACCAUGUUAAUGUUAUGACCUAAUAUGAGAAUGUAUGUACAAUGAUAGGUGCAAAUUUGAGGUGCUACAGUUCUUCCACAACUACUUGUGUUUCCUGCUCUAAUACCUCCAUAGGUGUAUCAAUGCUUUGUGAUUCUUGAAUUUCUUCAAGCUCUACUUUUCUCCCACUGAUUCCUAUGGAAAUAAAAUCCUUUUCUAGGAGAACUCCAGUUCGAGCGACAAACACUUUUCCCUCAGAAGGAUUGUAGAAGUAAUACCCUCUUGUUUCUUUAGGAUACCCCACAAAUAAGAAUUUGUCAGAUUUGCGCUCAAGCUUAGUUGAAAUUUGCCAUUUCACUAAAACUUCGCAACCCCAAAUCUUCAUGUAAGACAUGUGUUGUUUCUUACCACUCCAUAUCUCAUAUGGUGUAUUUUUAACCUUUUUGUAUGGAACACGGUUAAGUGUGUAAGCUACUGUCAAUAGUGCAUGUCCCCAAAAGGAGUUUGGAAGAUUGGCGUGACUCAUCAUGGAUCGGACCAUGUCUAACAGGGUUCGAUUUCUUCUCUCAGAUACACCAUUCCAUUGGGGUGUUUUAGGAGGAGUAAGGUGGGAUAGGAUCCCACACUCUUUCAGAUGGUCAUCAAACGCUAGGCUUAAAUACUCACCACCUCGAUCUAAUAGAAGAGUUUUAAUAUUCUUACCUAGUUGGUUUUGUACUUCAUUCUUGAAUUCCUUGAACUUUUCAAACGACUCUGAUUUGUACACAUAACCAUAUCUACUGAAAUCAUCAGUAAAUGUGAUGAAGUACUAAAAACCUUCUCUGGUUGGUAUGUUCAGUGGUCCACAUACAUCAGUAUGUAUGAGGGCCAAAAGAUCAUAAGCUCUUUCACCUUUUCUUGUGAACUGAGACUUUGUCAUCUUUCCAAUUAAACAAGAUCUGCAUGUCUCAUAUGAUUCAUAAUCAAAAGAGUCCAAGAGUCCAUCUUUACGGAGUUCGAAAAUGCGUUUCUCAUUUAUGUGGCCCAAUCGAUAAUACCAAAGGUAAGUUGGAUUUAACUCAUUAGGUUUCAUUCUUUUAGUAUUAAUGUUAUGAAUAGGCAUUUCAAGAUCAAGGACAUAUAAUCCAUUGUUCAUUUGUGCAGUAACAUAGAAUAUAUCAUUCAAAUAAAUUGAGCAACAAUCGUUCUUUAUUAUAAAUGAAAAAUCAAACUUAUCCAAACAAGAAAUGAAAAUAAUAUUCCUGCUAAUUGCAGGUACAUAAUAACAAUUCUCUAACUGAGUUAUUAAACCACUAGGUAAAGUCAAUACAUAAGUUCCUACGGCUAAAGCAGCAACCUUUGCUCCAUUGCCAACUCGUAGGUCAACUUCACCUUUUUCCAAAUCUCUACUCCUUUUUAGCCCCUGCACAUUGGUACAAAUGUGAGAACAAUAAGUUCCUACGGCUAAAGCAGCAACCUUUGCUCCAUUGCCAACUCGUAGGUCAACUUCACCUUUUUCCAAAUCUCUACUCCUUUUUAGCCCCUGCACAUUGGUACAAAUGUGAGAACCGCAUCCAAUAUCUAAUAUCCAUAAUGCAGAAGUAGAUAAAUUAAUUUCAAUAUAAAAAAUACUUGAAGUUGAAGUCUCUACUCCAUUCUUCUUAUCUUCCAGGUACUUUGGGCAGUUUCUCUUCGAGUGUCCGGUCUUACCGCAAUGGAAGCAGGUGCCUUCCUUUACUAUGCCUCCACUAGGCUUUAAAGCAGCAACAAUGGGUUUGGGUUUGGCAACUGCCUUGCCUUUCCCUUUAUCACCCUGCUUGGUGGGUCUUUUGUUCUGUCUCUUUCCAUUUCCGAUCAUCAGAAUGGACUUCCCUUUUGACUCCAGAUUCUACUCAGCAGUUCUUAACAUGGCUAGCUGUUCAGGAAGAGAUUUGUACAUAUCAUUCAUAUUGAAAUUUUGGACAAAUUGACUGAAUCUAUCUGGCAACGAUUGCAUGAUCAAAUCAGUCACAAGUUCCUUUUCGAGGGGAAAACCCAACCUCUCAAGGUUUUCCACAUAUCCAAUCAUCUUGAGCACAUGGGGACCUACAGGGGCUCCCUCAACUUACUUGCCUUGAAAACGGGCUUUUGAAACUUCAAACCUUUCAUGCCUUGCUUGCUCUUGAUAGAGCAUCUUCAGGUGUUCGAUCAUAUCGAACGCUUCCAUGUUCUCAUGUUGCUUUUGCAACUCUGAGUUCAUGGUAGCUAGCAUGAGACAAGAAGUUUCAUUGGCAUCAUCGACAUGCUUCUUAUAAGCAUCUCUUUCUGCCUUAGGUGCAGAACUAGGAGGUUCCUCUUCAGGAACAGGUGUCUCCAAGACAUACAACUUUUUAUCAUGUUUGAGGAUAAUCCUCAGGUUUCGGUGCCAAUCCAGAAAAUUUGUCCCAGACAAUUUUUCCUUGUCAAGGAUUGAUCGCAAGAUGUUGUUAGAGGUGUUUGCUGUCAUGGUUAUCUACAUAAGGAUUAAGAAAAUAUAAGUAUCAUUGACAUAUUUAAUUAGGCCUUUAUUCAAAUAUGCUCCCACUAUUUUACUCAAAACAAAUGACCCUCAUCAUUUGAUUCGGAAAAUCCCGUUGGAAGAUUUUCUAGUGGGUUGAGAUCCAUAUUUCACUUCGUUCUAAGUCCGCGUAGGCGGAUUACACAAAACUAGGUUAUUUAGGUAGGAACUCCUUCCAGUUGUAUCUCAUACAACUCUCGAAAAUUUCAGUUGGGUGAAUAACUCCUUAUUCCAAUCCAUCAUAUGGAUCAUUCCCAACUCUUGCUUCUAAAACAUAUAUAAGAAAAUUAUAAUUAAGUUUGACCCAUUGUUUUAGCAGUUGGAUAUUACAAUUAUCCCAUCGCACCUUACUAAUAUAGAACAUGCACCUCGCGUAGGCGAAACCUACAUUAUUCGAUACUAGUCUUGAUGAGUGCUAAAACUUGGAAAGCAUAAACUUAAUAUUUAAUUUGAGGGAAUUUGCAAUUAUUCUGAUCUCACCGGCUUAUUUAUCAUAUAAAUCGUCUCUCACAUGCAUCAACAUACAUUCACAUGCAUCAACAUACAUAAUGAAAUAGUUAUGGCCCCUAGCGCAAUUGUUCUCCCAAGCCAAUGAGAGAACCUAAGCUAACCUAAUAACGAUCUAAGCUUCUCUAAGCAAGAUAUUCAAGGUUGUCCUCCUUUUAUAUUGAAUUCUUCUCUUUCUUCAUAACAUUACAUUACAUAAAAGAAACUCAUUUUACAUACGAGGGAGUGAGAUAAGAAAAGAAGUUACAUUGAGAGAUUAAAAGAGAGGCACGACAUGCAGGUCGUAAAUUAAAAUCCCAAAACGAAAUAAAGGAAAACUAAGGCCACAACCGAUCACCACAAGACAAUAAUAAUAAACACAUUAUUAUUAUUAAUUUAAAUUUUUUUAAUUAAUUAAGACUAAAUUAAAUUUCGGCGAAUGAUCAUACUAUGCAGAGUUAGCAAAAUAUUCUUUUAAUUAAAGUAUUGAUUUCAAAAAUGAUCAUAAUAAAAUUUAAAACUAUUUGGCUGAAUUAAAUAAGAGUAGAAACAAUUGGAUAAAAGCUCAAUUUUAUUUAAUAGAAUGGUAGUCUGUAAAUGACAAGACUCCAUAGAUCUUUUACAAAAGUUGAAAAUGAUAAUUUACAUGGAAAAGGGCUACAUUGAAUACAAUGAUCACUAAUCCUUCUACCAACUCUUGAUGUCCACUGUGCUCUUGGCCGCUACCGGGGACUAGAAUCCAACAUUGUGCUCAAGAAAGUCUUCAAAACCGAAGAUCAGCAAAAUGCAGUUACUUGUCAUAAUCCCUAAUAUUUACAUAAAUUGCCCCAAGGUGGGGUAUUCAAUUUAUCGGGAUAAUUCAUUCUGUUUUAUGUCUCUAACUUUUUCCUGGAUCACCCUUUUGAGUUUUCAAUCCACCAAGAUGCUCAUUUUUGCCUAAGCCGCCCUUUCGGUUUUUCAACAUAGCGAGUUGUUCUUUUCUUUUUUUUAGGCGAAGUAUUUCUUGACUGCAUCUGCGUUCACAAGACGAGUGAACUCUUCACCAUCCAUAUGAAAAGGCUCUCUUAACAACAUAUGUGCCUUCAUAAUUAGGAGUCCAUUUUCCCCUAGAAUAUGGUUUGAAUGAUAGGAUCUUCAUGAGCACAAGGUCACCCUCUCUAAACACACGAGGCCUGACCUUCUUAUCAAAAGCUUUCUUCAUUUUCUACUGGUAUAACUGACCAUGAUACAUGGCAGUCAACCUCUUCUCUUCAAUAAAAUUGAGCUGGUCAUACCUGGUCUGACACCAUUCAGCCUCGGUCAACUUUGCUUCCAUCAGCACACGCAAUAAUGGGAUCUCAACCUCUACGAGGAGCACAACAUCCAUACCAUAUACAAGAGAGAAAGGGGUUUCCCCUGUUGAAGUGCGGAUGGAUGUACGAUACCCGUGUAAAGCAAAUGGGAGCAUGUUAUGCCAAUCCUUAUAUGUCACAACCAUCUUCUGAAUGAUCUUCUUAAUGUUCUUGUUUGCAGCUUCAAUCGCCCCAUUCAUCUUAGGUCUGUAGGGAGCAGAAUUAUGGUGUGCAAUCUUGAAGUCUUUGCAAAGAGCUUCCACCAUAUUAUUAUUCAAGUUCGAUCCAUUAUCAGUUAUAAUCUUACUUGGCACACCAUAACGACAUAUGAUUUGAUUCUUGAUAAACCUCACAACAACUUGCUUGGUUACAUUUGCAUACGAUGCCGCUUCAACAAAUUUUGUGAAGUAGUCGAUAGCCACCAAAAUGAAACGAUGUUCAUUCAAAUCUUUAGCCUCAAUCAUGCCAAUCAUAUAAAUUCCCCACAUGGAGAAGGGACACUGGGAGGAAAUGACAUUCAACAGUGUUGGAGGAACAUGAAUCUUAUCUGCAUAUAUUUGACACUUGUGGCAUUUCUUCACAAACUUGCAACAAUCAGAUUCCAUUGUCAGCCAAUAGUAACCUGCUCGCAACAUCUUCUUCUCCAUUGCAUGUCCAUUGGAAUGAGUACCAAAGGAACCUUCAUGGACUUCAGCCAUCAAUAGGUCUGCUUCGUGUCUAUCCACGCAUCUGAGGAGAACCAUAUCGAAGUUUCUCUUGUAAAGCACAUCACCAUUCAGGUAGAAAUUGUCGGCUAAUCUUCUCAAAGUCUUCUUGUCUUUCAAAGAUGCCCCAGAUGGGUAAAUCUGACUUUGGAGGAAACACUUGAUAUCAAAAUACCAUGGCUUUUCAUCUUUGACUUCUUCAACAGCAAACAGAUGAGCUGGCCUAUCAAGACGCAUCACAAUCAAAUUGGGAACUUCAUUCCAAUAUUUCACUAUGAUUAUUGAAGCCAGCAUUGCAAGAGCAUCUGCCAUCCGGUUUUCAUCUCGAGGGAUAUGAUGAAACUCAACCUUUGUAAAGAAAGUUGAAAUCCUCCUCGCAUAGUCUAUGUAUGGUAUCAAACCGGGUUGAUUUGUCUCCCAUUCGACUUUGAUUUGAUUCACGAUCAAAGCUGAAUCUCCAUAGACGUCUAGAUAUUUGAUUCUGAGAUCAAUGGCCUCUUCAAGCCCCAUAAUGCAAGCUUCAUACUCUGACAUAUUGUUUGUACACUUGAAAGUCAAACUAGCUGUAAACGAAAAAUGCGUGCCUUGAAGAGUAAUAAUCACUGCCCCAAUGCGAUUACCAUACUGAUUAACAGCUCCAUCAAAUACCAUGCCCCAAUUGGAACCAGGUUCUGGCCCUUCUUCCAGCAAUGGUUCGUCACAAUCUUUCAUUUUCAAGUACAAGAUCUCUUCAUCAGGAAAAUAAUACUAUACUGACUGGUAAUCUUCAAUCGGUUCGUGAGCCAGGUGGUCAGCCACGACACUACCUUUAAUUGCUUUCUGAGAUCGGUAUUCAAUAUCAUACUCUGAUAACAACAUCUGCCAACGAGCAAUCUUCCCAUUUAAAGAAGGCUUCUCAAAAAAAUACUUGAUUGGAUCCAUUUUGGAUAUCAACCAAGUGGUAUGAUUCAACAUAUAUUGACGUAAACGCUUAGCAGCCCAAGCUAAUGCACAACAAGCCUUCUCAAGCAUAGAAUGUUAAGUCUCAUGAUCGGUGAACUUCUUACCGAGGUAGUAAAUGUCAUAUUCUUUCUUUCUAGUCUCAUCUUGCUGCCCUAGAACAUAACUCAUACUCUCAUCAUGCACAAUCAAAUACAUUAUCAAUGGUCUUCCUUCCACAAGAGGAGACAAAAUCGGAGGCUCAAGCAGAUAUUCCUUGAUAUUAUCAAAAGCUUUCUGGAAGUCUUCGGUCCAAUCACAAGACUGAUCUUUCCGAAGAAUCUUGAAUAUAGGCGCACAUAUGGCAGUCAUGUGUGAAAUGAAUCUUCAAAUAUAAUUCAAGCGGCUGAGAAAACCUAUGACUUGUUUCUCAGUUUUGGGCGUAGACAUCUCUUGUAUUGCUUUGACCUUGGUAGGAUCAACCUCAAUACCUUUCUCACUGACAAUAAAUCCCAACAACUUACUAGAACGGACAUCAAAUGUACACUUAUUGGAAUCCAAUCGGAGUUUAUACUUCCUCAACCGUUGUAAUAGCUUCAACAAAUGUUCGACAUGUUCCUCUUCAUCAAUAGAUUUAGCAAUCAUGUCAUCAACAUAGACUUCGAUCUCUUUAUGCAUCAUAUCUUGAAAAAGAGUAGUCAUUUCUCUUUGGUAAGUUGCACCAGUAUUCUUUAAACCAAAAAGCAUCACUCUAUAACAGAAUGUUCCCCAAGGUGUAAUGAAUGUGGUCUUCUCGAUAUCUUCAGGUGCCAUCUUGAUCUGAUUAUAUCUAGAAAAUUCAUCCAUAAAUGAAAAUACUUUGAAUUUAGUUGUAUUUUCUACCAACAUAUCAAUGUGUGGUAGAGGGAAACCAACUUUCGGACUGGCUUUAUUCAAAUCUCUAUAGUCAACGCACAUACAGACUUUUCCAUCUUUCUUUGGAACAGGCACAAUAUUGGCCACCCACUGCGGAUAUUCAGCAAUCACAAGGAAACCGACAUCAAUCUGUUUCUGCACUUCUUCUUUGAUCUUCACUACUAUAUCAGGAUGAGUCCUCCUUAGCUUCUGCUUGACUGGCGGGCAUUCUGGCUUCAACGACAAUCUAUGCUCCACGAUCUCAUAAUCCAACCCUGGCAUGUCUUGAUAGGACCAAGCAAACACAUCUGAAUACUUUUGGAGAAGAUCAAUCAAACCCUUCUUAACCUCUGGAUACAGUCAAGACCCAACUUUGACAUCCUUCACAUCAUCCUCGGAACCCAAGUUGACUAACUCAAUCUGCUCUUCGAAUGGCUGAAUGGCUUUUCCUUCAUUCUCAAGAAGAUGACACAAUUCAUCACUUACUUCUUCAUCACUUUCCUCCUUAGCCUCAAACACAUGGAAUUCAAAAUUUGGAGAAGGAGAAGUAUCAUUGUAUUCAAUGGGGUUAGGAACAAACCUGCAUAAUGAUUUGAUAUUUUGCUUUUAGAGAAGUGAAUUUGUGACCAAAUAUUAUGUAGAUGGGCAAUUAUUUUAUUUAUUUAUGUUUUUUUUGUGAUUACCAUUUUCAAAAUAAAGCAAAAAGUAAAAAUAAAACAUCGUAGACGUGGAUGAAUAAAAUUAUAUUUUAUUGAUGAUCAAAUUUGAAAUGCCUAAACAAUGUUCACUUCUCCCUUAGGCAUAGGAGAAGGAUUUUCAAAAAAAAAAAGAAAUUACUUAGAUCGAUGCACAAUAACAGGAAUAUCAACAGCAGUCCAAUUGUCGCAAUCUUUUCCAUGCGUCACAAAAUUGGUGUAGUCUUCAUCCUCAUCACCCUCGAUCAUAGCAGCUAAGUGUUGUUCAUUACCAUGAAUGAACCCUCCAUUAUGGAAAUUGUGUUGCGCAUCUUUAGUUUCAACCAUUGAAGAACCUCGUUAUAAACCCAAACCGGCUCUGCUCUUGUUAUCGGAGACAUCUACCAUCUGUCCUCACUGAUCAGACUGACCAUCUUCAACAAUUUUAUGUGCAUCUUUAAACGAGGACAUAGGUUCCCUAACUCUUUUUCCCUCAGCAAUAAAUAAGGCUUGGAACGGAGUUCUAACCUCAUCCUCAGCUUCUACACAAGAGAAAGAUGACAGGUGGCUGACCAGCAACGCCUUCUCCCCGCCAACAAUAACUAGCUUCCCAUUCUUAACAAACUUCAGCUUCUGAUGCAACGUUGAAGUAACGGCUCCUGCCUCAUGAAUCCACGGCCUUCCCAAUAAGCAGAUAUAGGCCGGGUGGAUAUCCAUUACUUGGAAAGUAAUUUGGAAGUCACUCGGACCUAUCUUCACUUGAAGGUCCACUUCGCCAAUCACAGUCUUGCGAGAACCGUCAAAAGCUUUGACGAUCACACCAUUAUAUCUCAUAGGAGCUCCUUGGUAUGACAACUUCGACAAAGUUGACUUCGGAAGCACAUUUAAUGAAGACAUAGUGUCUACCAGCAUAUUUGACAGAGCGUCAUCUUUACAAUUCAUCGAAAUAUGUAGAGCCAAGUUAUGAUUUCUACCCUCAUCGGGGAGUUCUUCAUCACAAAAGUUGAGGUUGUUGCUGGAAGUGAUGUUAGCUACAAUAUGAUCGAACUGAUCCACCGUAACAUCAUGUUCCAUAUACGCUUGCUCUAGAACUUUCUACAGUGCUUCUCUAUGCGCUUCUGAGUUCAUAAUCAGAGACAACACUGAAAUCUUUGAGGGAGUUUGGAGCAGCUGCUCCAACACAUUGAACUUUCUCCUCUUGAUCAAUCUGAGCACCUCAUCAUCGUCGUUAGGCUUUAAACCACUGGAUCCAUCAGACUGUCACUUUGGAGUACUAACAGAAUUUACCACUGGUGCAUCAACUUUCUUGCCAACAUAUAAAUCUUCCACAUUCUUUGGGAACACCGGCCCAAAAACCCGACCGCUGCGGGUCACCUUAAUAACAUCAGUAAUGCUCACCUCAGAACUGGUCGUAGGCAAAGGAACCUCUUGACCAUUCUCUAGCAUGGUAGCAUAGUACUGAUACGGGACAACUUUAUCAAAUGCAUACGAGACGGGGCCCGCUAACCGUAUAACCAACAACGAUACUGAUCUGUUGUUGACACUGCUACUGCUGUCGUAGUGGAUUACUACUCUUUCAUGAGUUUAUAAAACGGGAACAAUAACAUUCACAUCGUCAUCUACAUGACAGGAUUGUAUAAUCUGAAUCAAACCUUCAUCCAUCAACCUUUGGAUGUCUCUCUUCACAACCAUACAACCUCUGGGAUUGACACUGUAGAUAGCACAACCGUCAUGGUCAUGCUCACGAUCGCUAACCAAACAGAUAUCUUUGUGCAUCGUCACCAAGGGCCUUCUAAUAAAGUGUACAUCAAAUACCUUAAACUCCCCAGGACAGACGUCCACCAUAUUAACAGAUGAAUUCCCAUGGGCAUGUAGUGGGUUAGCUUUGUUGUUUGGCGCACGAUCCUCACAAGACACUGUAAUACUCCAAUUUUAACCCUAAGAUCCCUCAUUCUAUCUCAUCAUAUGCAUUAGCAUUGGGAUCACACCUUGGCAUCCUCCUUACCCCUCUUUCAUUGGGUUUGUUUUGGGAGAGAUCACCAAGCACCAUGUGAUUGUAUCAUACUUGUAUAUUAUCAUUUUACUAACCAAUUGGGAUCACACCUUGGCAUCCUCCUUACCCCUCUUUCAUUGGGUUUGUUUUGGGAGAGAUCACCAAGCACCAUGUGAUUGUAUCAUACUUGUAUAUUAUCAUUUUACUAACCAAAAUACCAAAAACAUGUCUUUGUAUUUUCCUAACUCUUUUGUAGGUAGGGCAUGAUCAUCAUUGAUCCACCAAGUUCACAUCUAGGGUUUAAGACCCUCAUGGCUAAAAACACAACCAAAGAUUGAUCCACAAUGUCUCAAAGCAUCAUAUAUGAGUCCCAAUGAUGUUUACAUGUUAUAUUGAUCAAGUAUUCUUCAAGAGUUUGGAGGUGAUUUGCCUUGGAAACUCUAGUUUGACUGGGUAUCUUGAGUAACUUCUCCAAUAAGCUAUCUCACCAUUUGAUUAAUUUUCCCAAGGGACAGUUCAAAUUUCAUCACCUUAUGCAUAUAUGAUCUACCAUGAGCCUAUAAAGUCAAGAGAAUUGAAGGUUAGAAAGUUGGUUGAUGGUGGUUGGCCAGAUGAUUGCCUUUCCAUUCAAAUGCCAAAAACUCCACAUAUCAUUGCCUUGCCAUUCAAGCAUCAUUUGAACUUCAAUACAAAUGUAAUUGAAUCAAAUUGGAUUGCUUCAUGGGCCUGUACACGCCCAUGCAAGCUUGUGCAUCACCUUGCCAAUUUUAGCAAUUUUUCAAGUGUGCAAAUAACACUCUCAAAUGCUAUAAAUACAAUGCCUUGGAGCUCAUUUUAAACACACCUUGCGCGCAAACGUUUCCCCCCAAUUCAAACCCUCACCAUUCAAAGAAAAACCUAAGAAUUUUCAACUUGAAAAUUGAGUUUGAAUUUCACUGUUUGGAGAUUCAAAAACUCCAGGAUCCAAAGCUUUGUACCAUUCCCAAACCACUUCUGCAAGCUUCUUGAGUGUGAUCAGAUCAAGUUUGAAGGAAGCCAGAUCCAUUUCUGCACAACAUUGAAGGUAAUUUUCAGAAAACUUCUUCUCUUCGAUUCUCACACAAUUCUCAUCAAUUCUCUUGGAUCUUUGGUUGUCUAAAGUCCUACCAAUGUAGGCAAGAAGGUUGAGUUGCUUUGAGGUCAAAUCGAAGAAACUCAGUUAACACACCUCAAAAUUCAACUCGUCAUAUCUUCCUAUAUAUUUGGAGUUAGUUGAAAUUGAGGUCAGAUUCGUGCUCUACGCCAUAUUUUUCUUUCAGAUGAUGUCCUCUUUUCUCAUUUAGAUGAUGAUUGAGAGUAGACUAGUCUGGUGAGGGCCACCGGAGAAGAAGACCGGAGCUCUGGCUCCGGCGAUGCAUUGACAUGUCUCCAGACCACAGGAUCCUCUUAAUUUUUUUUAAUCUUAGGCGUUUGUUGUGAUUACCAUGCGUGUGACGCGCUGACUAAGUCCCACCAUGGAACACGCGUUUCUAUCCACUUGAUCUGCCACCUCAAUUAAUGAGGGAGAUCAAGUGGUCCACGUUUUUUUUGAUUUUUUGAUUUUCAUUUUAUUUCAUUUGAUUUUCAUUAAUUCAUAUUAAUUUUAAUAUUGAUGCAAAAAAUAUGAGAGUUUCACCAAAAAAAUUUAAAUAAAUUGCUCUUUCAUAUUUUGAAUUAAAAUUAUUUUUUUGGAUCAUUAUUAAUAUUUUUCAUUAUUUAAUUGAUUUUAUGAAUAUUUUAAAUUGUUUAAAAAUAUUUUAAAGUCUAUAAAAAUUCUAAAAAAUUUCUCCAAGGUCCUUUGACCUUGUUUGACCUAUGAUAAAUGUCAUGGCCAUUUCUUUGGUGUUUUGAUGAGGUUUUAGGAAUUUGACAAACCAUAUUUAAUUUAAUGCAUUAUUUUUAGUAUUUCUUUUAUUUGAAUAAAUGCCAAAUAUUUGUGUUGAGCAAUUUUGAUGGUUUGUAUAAGUUUGACUUGUGUUGCUGGGCCUUUUGUCAAGGUUGAUUUGACUUUGCUAGGUUAAGAUCAUUGGAUUUAGGGGAUUGAUGGAAUGUACAUUCCAUCUCACAAAAUGAAUGAAUGAUCUUAAUUUGGUAAAACUCCUCCUUUGACCAAUUUGAGUUUUGAUCCAUUCCCCUCUCUCUUCAUAUAUUUCCCCUUCUCUAUGCAUUCAUUUCAUUUGGUCUAUGAUAUCUCUAAAUCAUAAGGCUAGUUGAUUGCAAAAUCAACAUAAGUAUGGAUGAGAUUAGGCCACCUCUUUUGCAUAUUAUUUUUGUGUGUGGUACGUUUCAUGAGCAUAAUCCAUUAUACUAUGUCUCUAACAUGCAUUAACACCAAAAUUCUAUUGCCCGACCUCAAAUAGUUGUGACUUCUACAUAAGUCCAAUUACGAUUGCUUAACAUAGCGCUAAAUAAAAAUUCUAUUGCCCGACCUCAAAUAGUUGUGACUUCUACAUAAGUCCAAUUACGAUUGCUUAACAUAGCGCUAAAUUUUUGAUACAAAAGGCAUAGCAUUCUAGUUAGUGAGAUUGUAAGUCUCCCUUCUUUCAUGGUAUUGUAUGGAAACUUGACCUUUUUUCCUUCCUUUGGAAGAUGUCUUGUUUCAAGGAUCUAUGCUUGUGAUAAGUGGGUUGAGUGUUCUCCAAAGAGUGACUUAAAAUGAAAAGCAAAAACAAUACUAACUUCUAACUCAUUAACAACUAACAUUUAAUUUAAAGUCAUUUACUUUAAUGCAAUUUAAUUUCAAGUCUUUAUUCAUUUGCCAUUAUUCAUACCAUUCUAAUUGUUUAUGUUAAUGUCAUUUUCACUUUGUCCAUUUGGACCAUAUUGUGUGAUAUAUCUUGCUUGUGUAUAUUGUAUUUGUUUGUGUGGUCUUUGACCAUUAAUGUACAUAAUAAGAACAAAAACCCUAAAAACUUUUGUGUGGACUGUUGGCUUGAUCUUGGACAAUUGGACUUAGAAUCUAGGUAACUUCCCUAUUCAAAAGGACUUGGACAAUGCCAACUUUCAUGAAACCAAGUGCUUGCAAUUUGAAACUUCAUCUGAUACAUCAUUUAAGAUCCCUUUGAGUUCAUCUGCAAUAUGAUCUUUGUGAAGUUGUUAUUUUGAACCCGUGACUUGUGGAAUUCAUUUGCUACAUGGGAAAAUUUGAAGAAGAUCAUGGAGUUGUUAAGCUUUUGUAAGACCCUAAUUUUGAACCUAAGAUCCCUCAUGGCAUGAUAUCAUUUGCUCAAUGCAUUGCCUCAAGGAUCAUAGCAUGUGUGGCUCUUUUACCCUAGGGCUGGAUUUUUGUGAGUGGUUUGAGACCACCAAGCAUGCUUGUAUUGUAUAUUAUUGCUUUUCUUAUUUUAAUUAAUAACCAAAAUCACAAAAAUAUGUCACUAACUCUUUUUGUUUUGAAGCUCAAGUGAUCAUGUGCUCCCAUGCUCCUAAGCUCAAUGAAGUGGCUAGACGAAGAUGAAAAAAAGCAUGACAAUGGUCCACAAAGCUCCUAAUCAUCAUAUGUGUCUCCCAAGUAUCUUAAUUUUCCAAUUUUAUCAAGAUAACCCAAAAGGAUUGAGGAUUGUUUCCCAAGGAAACCCUAAUUCAACUAUACAUUGACUGUGCCUUGCUCUUGAAGCAACCUCAACCUAUGAUCAAAUUUAAUCAAGGGAAGUUCUUUAAUUCAUUAUUUUAUGCAUAUAUGAUAUUAUGUGAGGUUCCUCAAUCAUUCAUUCAUCAAGAUUUGAAGUUUGGCCUUGAGAAGUUGACCAGUCAAGUCAUCUGACUAAACUAAGGUUCAUUGAGAUACAAAUUUUGAUGUGUUUGUCAAAUGAAGAUUACCCCAAGAGAAAAUAUGUUAUUAAGAACCAUAUGAACAACGUUCAUGUUCAUCAAAAAUCCAUUUGAAACUUGGAAGGUCAUCAUUCAUUUCAAAACAUUAUAGGUCAUUUUGACUAAAACCCUAAUUUUGGGUCAACUUCCCAAGGAUCUAACUUCCUCAAUUUUUAUGAUUUUUAUAUGAGAAAAAAUGCAUUGGAAAUUUUAAGAUAUCUCUUUCAAAUGUUAUGUUGGACAAAAUUUCAUAAUCCUAAAAUAAACACAUGUGAUAAUACAAAACAUUAUAGGUCACUUUGGACCUAAGUCAUUGAAUUUGAAAUAAUGUCCAAUUUCAAGCGCCCAUAACUUUAUCAUCAAAACUCCAAAUGAUGAAAAAUUUAAGUCUACAUUGAUCACGUUUAAAAGAUCUACAACUUUGAUGUUGGAGGCGUUUCCAUUUGAGGCUUGCAUCAUUGAAAUAGAAGGGAUUGAAAGUGGUUGCUUUUGUUGAAAAUUUUCAAAGGGAACCUAGACAUGUUUUGUACCCAAAACUUCACAGCCAAUUUUCAUAAAUUUCCAAAGUCCAAAUGAAUUUUUUCCCAACAUGACUUUUGUUCCUUAUUCCAAGAGCUUUCCAACCAUUACUCGUAUGACCAUUUUUGGAUUUUUCAUGUUGGAGUUUCUAAGGGCUUAAUGUUUAUGCUCAUUUUUGCAAUUCACAUCAUAACUUGGAAUGCAAGUUUGUGCAGCCUCUUGUGCACGUCCAAUUCAACUACAUUUGAUCUCAUCAUGCAUUUCCAUUCAUUCUUGGGCUUUGCAAGCGCUUGUACAGGCCCAUGCAUGAAGGAUCCAAGUUUCAUGCACACGAGCUAAACACCACCUUGCAUCCAUUCCAGCUAUAAAUAGAUGCUCAUGCUCAUUCAAAAAUAAAACCUGAGGGAGAUCUGAAACGCUGCUGGAUUGAAAACCAAACCCCCACCUAAAGGAAUUUCAGUUUUCAUUUUCAAUUUCAAGCUUGAAUUUCAACAUCAUUAGUUGAUCUUCAAGUCUUAAUUCCUUAACCUUGCAUCAUCAUCACACUUCUAGAUCAAAUUUGGAUCAAGAGCUUGGACAAUUCGUGCUCUUUGAAGCUCCAUUUCAGAGGUAUAUAACUAAACUUUUUUGAUUUAGAUCUUGAAAUAUAAUGUGAAUCUCUUUGGUUUGUGGUGUUUUCUGAAGUCCUUAAGCAUGAGGCAGGCCAGUGGUGGUCUCAAUUUUGCAAAUCAUGCCAUUUCAGAUCAAGCACCAUGAUCUUCAAGCUCAGGUUUCUCUUCCAAUAGGAACUUUGAGAGUGAUCCAUGGUUACAGGGGUGAUGUACACCACCCCAGCUUCAUUUUGAUACCUUGCUUUUUCAUUUUCAUUGAAGUUGAAAUCCCUACGCGUGGUGGCCGGAAUCAGUUGUCUGGCCGGAGAAGAUGGUGAUUUCCACCACCAUCCCCACGUGGGAGCUUCAGGUCCAUUGGAUCUUGAGGAAAUGUUAUAAUCUUGGCCUUUCAUUUGUUUGACUUCUUUUAAUUCAAUGAACUGCGCGCUUGACUUGAGCACAUGGUGUGACCGCGCCUUUGAACCCUUAGAUCAUGGCCACGUCAUUUAAUGAAAUGAUCCAAGCGCGCUGGUUUUUUCUCUUUUUCUUAUUUCUGUUUUAAUUUCAUUUAAUUAACUUUAUUUUCAAAAAUUCAUAAAUAUUUUAUUUGAAGUCACAAAAAUAUGAGACCAAUGCCAAAAAAUUUCUUGAAAAAUCUAGUUUCAUAUUUUGAUGUUUAAUUAUUUUUGUGACUUCAUUUAAUAUUUUUUGUGAAUUAUUUGGUUUUUAAUAGUUCUAAUUCAUUUUAAAAUACUUUUUGAUAUUUGAAAAAUCCAAAAAUAUUUUCUUAACACAUAUGGAUCAUGAUAAGUCAAUAAAAAAUAGUCUCAUCAAUUUCUUAAUUGAUUUGAGAUUUGUUUGAGAUUUUAUUCAUGUUAUGUUAUUUUUUUUGUUUUUUAAUUGAUUUUAAAUAGUUUCUGAUUUCAAAAAUUGUUGGAAAAAUUUGUCAAAGUUUGUUUGACCAUGUUAGAUCUAUGAGAAUUUAAUUGGACUUGUUGAAGUUGAUUUGAAUUGAAUUUGAGGUUUGACCAUAUUUUGUUCAUUUUAUUUUUGUAUUUAUUUUAAUUCCAAAAAUACCAAAAAAAUAUGUUUGAUUUGUUGACUUGUAACCUUCAUUUCUCUUCUGUUUAGCAUUGGUUGACGAUGAUUUGAUUCACUUUUGACCAAUUGCUUUUGACACUUGAAUUCUCUUUUCAUUCAUUUCAUCUUCAUCUCAUUUCUUUUUAUUUUGGCCAAUGAGUUAAUGUCUUAGGGUUGGUCUUGACAUAUGAGAGGCUUAACCUUCUUUGAUCCAAAUCAAACUCAACUUGAUCCAAGAUCAAGUAAGUUGCUUUGUGUCAAAGAUAGGUUGCUUCUUGGUCAAGCAAAAAACCUAAAGUCCAUACAAGGCCUUUCUCUUUUCUUUUGGCAUGGCAAGUUUUUGGAGCUUGGCUUACUAGUCAUGAUCUCUAACUUGUGUUUAUUUUCCUAUAGUUUUAUUGACCGGCCUUAUAUAGGUGUGACUACUAUGUUAGUCCACUUACGAUUCCUUAACAUAGCGCUAAAUUGUCUUAUGAGAAAUUAACAUAACUCCACUAAUUACUAACUUUAAUUUGAGCAUUUAAUUUCUUGUAAUUUACUUUAAUGAACUCUAUUUCUUGCUCAUUUACUCAUAUUUCCCUUUUCCCUUUGCUAACUUGAGCACAUAUUUUAUGUUUAUGUCAUUUUCCUUUUGCCCAUCUGAGCUCAUUAUUGUAUAUAAAUAUAUUGUUGUCUUGUGUUGGUUUUGCUUUUGCUUUGUGUGAACCCAAUGCAAAAAGGAGAAAGGACUUAGAAUAGGACUUACCUAUGCUUAAAGGAGUUCAGGAGCAACUAGGCAUCAUGCCUUUAGAAUGCUAAAUUUGUUGAAGAGCAACUAGGCCUCAUGCCUUUAGAAUGCUAAAUUUCAAAGUUGACUUCAAAGGACUUCCUUUCCAAAACUCUUUCUUUGUCCAUUCCCCUUAUUGUGUUGUGAACUUUUUGAUGUUUGUUCUUGUGUGAUAGGGAUUCCAUCUUGAGAUAGUAAGAAGGACCAUUAUCAUGAGUAGCCAAGUUAAGAGAGACAAGCCAAAUGGAGAUCCUAGGAGCUUGAAUCUAAUUUGUUUGAUUUCUUGAUUGUGUGCUAAGUACAAAGAAAAUGAGCAUCUUGAAUCAUCUUAUGAUUUCAAGAAAAGGAACUUCAAGGGUUUUAUCUCUUCUCUUAUCUUUGUAUUCCUGUAAGAUUAGCCCUUCUCCUCUUCUCUCCACUCUAACCCAAGCUAAACUCAUUUUGUGCAAAAUUUAACUUUGUUUCAAAUUAGAAACCUAGGCCUUACGCCUUUGACUUUUCAAAGUCUUUUCAUUAAUACUCAUAAUGAAUAAAUCUUAAUCCAACCUUGACCUAAUUUUAUAAAUAAACAUAACUUGUAAAUAUAACUCACUUCAAGUUGAUUUUGUGGUUCCAAUGACCACCUUGGUUAAAACCUUUUUCAUAAACAUUAGUCAUAAGUUUGAGUUAUCAUAGUGGUUGAUGUAAACCUCACCUUAUCCUUAGUGUUUGGAUUAUAAGUCUUCCAUACUUAUUAUAGGGUUAACCCCUCACUAGUAUGUUGAAGCUCUUCUCACAUGGUGGAUUGUUGGUUUAGGUUGAGUUUUCUCCCUUUGAUAACAAAAGACCUUAAGGCUUUUGAUCAAAUCAAUUCACCAAUCUUUGAGAUUUUUACCCCGAACUACGAGGUUUUGAUCACAAAAGACCUUAAGGCUUUUGAUCAAAUCAAUUCACCAAUCUUUGAGAUUUUUACCCCGAACUACGAGGUUUUGAUCCUCCUUUGUGAUGGUACGUAGGAAAUGGGUUCAUCCAUUCAAACAACAAAUUUGUAAAUAUAAUCUAUUCUCUUCUCAUCCCCCAAAUCUUUUGCACAUAAUUUCACGAAUACCAACCUAUAACACAUAUUUGCAAAAAGAGGUUCCCUUAGAGUACUAAGGAUGUUUUAGGUGCGCAAAACCUUCCCAUUUCAUAACCAACCCCCUUACCUAGAUCUCUGACAUUUUUAUUAGUUUUUGAUUUG
rnacentral:lncRNA from 1 species